rnacentral:rRNA from 1 species
UACGGGGGGGGCAAGCGUUGUUCGGAAUUACUGGGCGUAAAGGGCUCGUAGGCGGCCAACUAAGUCAGACGUGAAAUCCCUCGGCUUAACCGGGGAACUGCGUCUGAUACUGGAUGGCUUGAGAUUGGGAGAGGGAUGCGGAAUUCCAGGUGUAGCGGUGAAAUGCGUAGAUAUCUGGAGGAACACCGGUGGCGAAGGCGGCAUCCUGGACCGGCAUUGACGCUGAGGAGCGAAAGCCAGGGGAGCAAAGCGGG